UAGGGAAUCUUCGGCAAUGGGGGGAACCCUGACCGAGCAACGCCGCGUGAGUGAAGAAGGUUUUCGGAUCGUAAAGCUCUGUUGUUAAGGAAGAACGAGUGUGAGAAUGGAAAGUUCAUGCUGUGACGGUACUUAACCAGAAAGGGACGGCUAACUACGUGCCAGCAGCCGCGGUAAUACGUAGGUCCCGAGCGUUGUCCGGAUUUAUUGGGCGUAAAGCGAGCGCAGGCGGUUAGAAAAGUCUGAAGUGAAAGGCAGUGGCUCAACCAUUGUAGGCUUUGGAAACUGUUUAACUUGAGUGCAGAAGGGGAGAGUGGAAUUCCAUGUGUAGCGGUGAAAUGCGUAGAUAUAUGGAGGAACACCGGUGGCGAAAGCGGCUCUCUGGUCUGUAACUGACGCUGAGGCUCGAAAGCGUGGGUAGCAAACAGG
rnacentral:rRNA from 2 species